AUUGAACGCUGGCGGCAUGCCUUACACAUGCAAGUCGAACGGUAACGCGGGGCAACCUGGCGACGAGUGGCGAACGGGUGAGUAAUGCAUCGGAACGUGCCCAGUUGUGGGGGAUAACUGCUCGAAAGAGCAGCUAAUACCGCAUACGACCUGAGGGUGAAAGCAGGGGAUCGCAAGACCUUGUGCUAUACGAGCGGCCGAUGUCGGAUUAGCUAGUUGGUGAGGUAAAGGCUCACCAAGGCGACGAUCCGUAGCGGGUCUGAGAGGAUGAUCCGCCACACUGGGACUGAGACACGGCCCAGACUCCUACGGGAGGCAGCAGUGGGGAAUUUUGGACAAUGGGCGCAAGCCUGAUCCAGCCAUGCCGCGUGAGUGAAGAAGGCCU
rnacentral:rRNA from 1 species